GGCCCAGAUUUGAAGUAGAGUAGAUUAGAAGGAUCAUCUGACCCUACUGAAGUACUCUACUUCAAGUUUAUGCCC
rnacentral:pre_miRNA from 1 species